rnacentral:rRNA from 1 species
AAUUGCUGUGGUAUUUUGACUAUACAAAGGUAUUGUAAUAAGGCUUUAAUUGAGCGCUAAGAGAAUGGAUUUUCAAGAAAAUUCUUUUUUAAAUUUAAAAAUUGAAGUUAUUUUUAUUUGUGAAGAAACAACAAUAAAAAUUAAAGACAAGAAGACCCUAUGAAUUUUUUUUAAAACACAAUUAUAAUAUUAAUUGUGUUUUAAUUAAUUGGGGCGAUUAAAAAAAAUUAUAAACUUUUUAUAAAAAUAAAAUGAUCCACAAAUUGUGAUUUUAUGAAAUAAAUACUCUAGG